CCUACGGGAGGCUGCAGUGAGGAAUAUUGGUCAAUGGGCGGGAGCCUGAACCAGCCAAGUCGCGUGAGGGAAGACGGUCCUAUGGAUUGUAAACCUCUUUAGGCGGGGAGCAAUGCCGGGCACGCGUGCCCGGAGGGAGAGUACCCGCAGAAUAAGCAUCGGGUAACUCCGUGCCAGCAGCCGCGGUAAUACGGGGGAUGCGAGCGUUAUCCGGAUUUAGUGGGUUUAAAGGGUGCGUAGGCGGAUUUUUAAGUCAGCGGUAAAAUGUCCGGGCUCAACCCGGGCCGGCCGUUGAAACUGGGGAUCUUGAGUGGGCGAGAAGUAUGCGGAAUGCGUGGUGUAGCGGUGAAAUGCAUAGAUAUCACGCAGAACUCCGAUUGCGAAGGCAGCAUACCGGCGCCCGACUGACGCUGAGGCACGAAAGCGUGGGGAUCGAACAGGAUUAGAUACCCUUGUAGUC
rnacentral:rRNA from 1 species